AUUGAACGCUGGCGGCAGGCCUAACACAUGCAAGUCGAACGGUAACAGAAAGUAGCUUGCUACUUUGCUGACGAGUGGCGGACGGGUGAGUAAUGUCUGGGGAUCUGCCUGAUGGAGGGGGAUAACUACUGGAAACGGUAGCUAAUACCGCAUAAUGUCGCAAGACCAAAGCGGGGGACUUUCGGGCCUCACACCAUCAGAUGAACCCAGAUGGGAUUAGCUAGUAGGUAAGGUAAUGGCUUACCUAGGCGACGAUCCCUAGCUGGUCUGAGAGGAUGACCAGCCACACUGGAACUGAGACACGGUCCAGACUCCUACGGGAGGCAGCAGUGGGGAAUAUUGCACAAUGGGCGCAAGCCUGAUGCAGCCAUGCCGCGUGUAUGAAGAAGGCCUUCGGGUUGUAAAGUACUUUCAGUCAGGAGGAAGGGUGUGAAAUUAAUACUUUCAUGCAUUGACGUUACUGACAGAAGAAGCACCGGCUAACUCCGUGCCAGCAGCCGCGGUAA
rnacentral:rRNA from 1 species